rnacentral:pre_miRNA from 1 species
CGUUAGCACGGAAUAUGGGAUACUGGAUCCGCCUGGCUCCCUGUAUGCCACCUGCGAAGCAUGCUAAAGGUUUUUGCCAGGAUUUGCAGCUGGCGUUCAGGGAGUCAAGCAGGCCUCAAGUCUUCCCGUAACCAGCGCC